rnacentral:sRNA from 1 species
AAAGAGACUACAGAUUGGUUAAAAAGUGA